UACAGAGGGUGCGAGCGUUGUCCGGAAUCACUGGGCGUAAAGGGCGCGUAGGUGGUGGGGUAAGCGUGUGGUGAAAGCCCGGGGCUCAACCCCGGGUCGGCCAUGCGAACUGCCCGACUGGAGCAUGGUAGAGGCCAAUGGAGUUCCGGGUGUAGCGGUGGAAUGCGUAGAGAUCCGGAAGAACACCGGUGGCGAAGGCGGCUUCCUGGACCGACACUGACGCUGAGGCGCGAAAGCUAGGGGAGCAAACGGG
rnacentral:rRNA from 1 species